rnacentral:rRNA from 4 species
AAAUUGAAGAGUUUGAUCAUGGCUCAGAUUGAACGCUGGCGGCAGGCCUAACACAUGCAAGUCGAACGGUAACAGGAAGCAGCUUGCUGCUUCGCUGACGAGUGGCGGACGGGUGAGUAAUGUCUGGGAAACUGCCUGAUGGAGGGGGAUAACUACUGGAAACGGUGGCUAAUACCGCAUAACGUCGCAAGACCAAAGAGGGGGACCUUCGGGCCUCUUGCCAUCAGAUGUGCCCAGAUGGGAUUAGCUAGUUGGUGAGGUAACGGCUCACCAAGGCGACGAUCCCUAGCUGGUCUGAGAGGAUGACCAGCCACACUGGAACUGAGACACGGU